AGAUUGAACGCUGGCGGCAUGCCUAACACAUGCAAGUCGAACGGGAGUAGCAAUACUCUAGUGGCGGACGGGUGAGGAAUACGUAGGAAUUUGCCCUUAAGUGGGGGAUAACCCGGGGAAACCCGGAUUAAUACCGCAUGACCUCGAAAGAGCAAAGUGGGGGAUCGCAAGACCUCACGCUUUGGAGAAGCCUACGUCGGAUUAGCUAGUUGGUGAGGUAAUGGCUCACCAAGGCGACGAUCCGUAACUGGUCUGAGAGGAUGAUCAGUCAACACCGGAACUGAGACACGGUCCGGACUCCGUAACGGGAGGCCGAGUCGAGGUGGGGAAUAGUUGGACUAAAGUGGGCGCGAAAGCCCUAGAUACCAGUACAAGUCGCCGCGUUGUACGGUGAA
rnacentral:rRNA from 1 species